AAAUGUUUUAUGAUGACUGCAUAGUUCAGAUGAAAGAAAUGAUUACAGUGCUGUAUUGUCUUUCGCUCCUAUCUGAUCAAUC